AGCGUGUGUGCACGUGCCUGUGUGUGUCCCUGCCAGUGUCUCAUCACUAUGUGCUCUAGCCCUGCAUGUCAAAUGCAGAAGAGUGGAGCUUCUCCAUGUAUAUCACACUCAGGAGAGCGUUGAAGGCUGUAUGGUCAUCACACAAAGUACAUGAGGAAACCCAAAUGUCCCCUGUCCAUGUCAUCCCAGAAGACCCACUCAAGUCCCUGGAGAGCUGCUUCAUUGGAAGCAUUGGCUGGGAGAGCAUUUUGCGAUUCACUGGCUUCAUAUAGCCAGACCCUUAGCCUCCUCCAGAAAGAGCUUCCCUUCUUGGAGUCUCGGGGACACCAGUUGUCGAAGCUUCACCCCAAGGGAGGUAUUUAUCUCUUUUUGGUGUGUCAAGGUGAAGGUGAAGGCUGGGAAAAGUGGUGGGAAGUUAAGAUACCUGGGUUGCUGCUGCAGUUGCCGACCCCUAGGAUGGAGCUAGGAGGCGGAAUGUGGGGACAGAAACGUGCAGGGAAGUUGAGGCAGUGGGGAGGUGGCUCUCCAAUGUGGUGGAUUACAGCUACAUUUCCAGAGGGUCAGGACCUGCUCACACUCCCACCCAGGUUGAAUCCCAUCUUGGGGGCUCGCUGCUUAUUUGAUCUGCACAGUAAGUGCUUAAAGCAAGAGAAGAAAGGGCGCGAUUGUCUAUGACCCUUUCCACAGGGAGGCGGCUCAGGCUCCCCACCUCCCCACUGCCCUGUCUGGAGACUCUGCCAGGAAGGAGAGGUGUGGCCCUGAGCAGUUUGGGCUCAACUGCCCUGUGGUCAUCAGGCCCACAGGGGCUGGAUCUGGGUCAGACCCUCACCCCUCACAAACUGAGGCUCACAGCCUCGGGUGGCUGGGGGUCCGGGCAAAUACGCAACAGGGAGGAGCUGUGGGCGUCUUGUGGUAGCGUACCCCUCAGCCAGCCUGGGGGUCUGGGUCACCUGGGGUGAGUGGCUCCUGGUGGGUAGAGGCAGCAUCCUGCCCAUCAUGGCAUAACCCGCAGCACCCACCUGAGGCUUGGCACAGCCUGGGUGCUCAGUAGAAGUCUGUUUCAUCACAUUUAAGAGGGUUGAACAAGGAAAUUCUCUGUCGAUCUCUUUUUUUUUUUUUGCGGU